CGCGUCAAUUUAAUAUGGAAACACCGGCAGGCAGUAGUCCGAUAAAGGUUUGAACCAUGGCUACUUAAUGACUGUAUCAAUCUUCAGUCUAGGAGCUGCUGCGAUUGCUUCCUUCUCCCUGAAGAAGAAAGUCAAAACUCAAAAGUCAAAAGAUAUGCAGUAAAACGAGGCCACUCACUCAGCAAAUAUUUCCCCGUCUCAUUCUAUCAAAUAUCAUCCGCGAUUUACAAUCCCACGGUUCGUCUCCAUGCUAGUCUUCCCAUCUCCCACUUAUCCCAUUCCAAUUCGUCUCUUCUUUCGAUGGUCACCUAUACGAAGCUUAGACGUCAGCGACUUGCAUCGAAGCUUAUGCCUACGUUCUUGAGCUCAGUGGCAAUUUUGGAGCUCUCUCUAUCUCAGUGUCGGCAGCUGCAUUCCAUCAUUUCAAGACUCUCUCCGCUUUGAAUUUAUUUUUGGGCUGGGAAGCUUGUUUUGAUGUACCGUCAGCGUCGGUCUGUGGAUGACGCAGAGAAAGUGUUUGACGAAAUGCGUCAAAGAGAACGGCCUCUUGCGUGGAAUGCGAGUAUUGGAGCCUAUCUUGCCAAUGAUGAGCAUGCUUCGGCUCUUACUCUAUUACCUGGUCGAAGGCGUCCCUCUCUUGCUUAAAGCCUGCGGCCAUCUUAGAUAUUUCCGGACUGGGACUGAGCUUUAUUGUCUUCUCGUUAAACAGAUUUUAUUGUCCAUGGGUUGCUUUCCAUUUAUGCUAAAAAAGAAUGAUGACCAAACCGCAACAAGGCGUCUGUUUUGUUUGAUUGAUCCCAAGAUACUUUUCUGUGGUUUUCUACUAUGUCUGGCCAAUCUUUUGAGGCUUUAGAGUUGUUCAGAGAAAUGCAGAUGAAUAGUCCUGCCUCCAACAGCUACACCGGCUCUCACAGCCUGUGAAGGUUUUUCAUAUGCAAAACUAGGCUAAGAGAUUCACGCUCUUGUCCAGAAAUCAACUCUAUCUUUUGGAUCGAGAUCAACGCCAAGGUUCAUAAAUUUACACCAAGAGACAAGUCUCACCCAGAGUCCAGAGACCAAAGAGAUAUAUGAGAAUUGUCCGAGGUUACUAGGAAGUUGGAGGAGGAAGCAGGUUAUACAAUGUUCGUUCUGCAUUAUGUUGAUCAAGGGGAGAAGGUUCAGAUUCUGCAUGGACAGUGAGAGGCUAGCAAUUGCUUAAACUUGACAACGCAUAUGUUCACCACUCUAGACGAAGAUUAUUAUGCAAUUUUUUAGCUGCAUAUGGUUAUUUGCCUGUGUCCCACCAAGAACAACAAGAAGUCGUCAUUUUAGGAGUGCAAUGACCCCCUUUGUUUUACACCAUAGAAGGGAAAGAGAGAGCUUGAAAGGGAAUUCAGAGUAGAAGAGAAGAUGGAGACCUGAUUAAGAAGAAGAAAGUAAAGGCAUAUCAGUAAUUAAAAGCAUGAAGCAGAGACCUAGACACCAAGCUAGGGAUAGAGUCGUCUAACUAGGCUGUUCAGCAGAGACCUAGUAGGUCUUUUAAGAGAGCAAACAUUGGAGGGUGGUUGAUGCAAAACCUAAAGAUGCGGUCUUGUAGAUACGGAGUCAAACUAAGCAUGGACUUUGGCGCAAGCUUCUUGACGGUCAAGAUUUAAAAUCAGUGAACUGGUAAGCCACCUUGUUGCAGCAGUUUGAAAAGGGAGGCAUCAGAGGUUUUGGGAUCAAUCCUUGUGGGAACCAUCUCCUUAACGAGAGAGAGCAUAGCCCUCACAGAGUAGAUGGUAGCGUAGGCAAAACGCCAACGCCUCUGGGCCUUGUUGAGGCUGGGGGUGGCAAGGUUGAGCAGCAGAGAACUGCAAUCAUAUUUUUGGAGGUCUCUCAUAUGCUUUGUGUGUAAAGAGAGAUAGAGUUUUAAGGGGAAUAAAAGAGUCUCGUCUAUAUUUGGUGUGACUUGUAAGACACUCAAGACUCGAAAGAAAUGAUCUCUCUCCAAAAACCUGAGCUUCGUGCUCUGCUAUAUAAAUCCGUAUUGGCCGCCUUUGCAUUUUUUUUUUUGUGCUUCCAAAUAAAAUCGUUAAAGCUAUUGUUAUACAAUUUUAUCUUGUCGUAGAUUAUUUUGUUCAGGAGGUGUAACCACUCAAAACACGUGUAAACACAAGGCAUGUGGA